CGGGGUGAGUAACGCGUGGGUAACCUGCCUCAUACAGGGGGAUAACAGUUAGAAAUGACUGCUAAUACCGCAUAAGCACACAGUACCGCAUGGUACAGUGUGAAAAACUCCGGUGGUAUGAGAUGGACCUGCGUCUGAUUAGCUAGUUGGCGGGGUAACGGCCCACCAAGGCGACGAUCAGUAGCCGACCUGAGAGGGUGACCGGCCACAUUGGGACUGAGACACGGCCCAA
rnacentral:rRNA from 1 species